CAAGUCUGGUGCCAGCAGCCGCGGUAAUUCCAGCUCCAAUAGCGUAUAUUAAAGUUGUUGCAGUUAAAAAGCUCGUAGUUGAAUUUCGGGGCCAGUAGGUUGGUCGUGCCACUGGUAUGCACUGGCCUUACUGGUCCCUUCCUCUUGUAGAACCGUAGAUGCGC
rnacentral:rRNA from 1 species